AGCCUGCGAGAUCAAGUUACAGACAAUAUGAGCUUCUACCUCCAGAUGUGCCAGGGUGCAUCUCUGUAAACUUGGAUUUUAGCCAGGCACGAUGGCUCAGGCCUGUAAUCCCAGCUCUGGAAGUUGAAGGAUAGCCUGAGUCCAGGAGUUCGAGGCUGCAGUGAGCUAUGAUCUCACCACUACACUCCAGCCUGGGUGACAGAAAGAGACCUUGUCUCAAAAAUAAAUAAAUAACAUUUAAAAAUAAAAA
rnacentral:lncRNA from 1 species